rnacentral:piRNA from 1 species
CAAAGGGACCUGAAGAGAAGAAGGAUU